rnacentral:rRNA from 1 species
AGAUGGCGACCGGCGCACGGGUGAGUAACACGUAUCCAACCUGCCGAUAACUCGGGGAUAGCCUUUCGAAAGAAAGAUUAAUACCCGAUGGUAUAAUCAGACCGCAUGGUCUUGUUAUUAAAGAAUUUCGGUUAUCGAUGGGGAUGCGUUCCAUUAGGCAGUUGGUGAGGUAACGGCUCACCAAACCUUCGAUGGAUAGGGGUUCUGAGGGGAAGGUCCCCCACAUUGGAACUGAGACACGGUCCAA